rnacentral:rRNA from 1 species
GACGAACGCUGGCGGCGUGCUUAACACAUGCAAGUCGAACGAAGUGGCGAACGGGUGAGUAACGCGUAAUCAACCUGCCCUUCAGAGGGGGACAACAGUUGGAAACGACUGCUAAUACCGCAUACUGACGGAGGGGAUUGCGUCUGAUUAGCUAGUUGGAGGGGUAACGGCCCACCAAGGCGAUGAUCAGUAGCCGGUCUGAGAGGCUGAACGGCCACAUUGGGACUGGGACACGGCCCAGACUCUUACGGGAGGCAGCAGUGGGGAAUAUUGCACAAUGGGCGCAAGCCUGAUGCAGCGACGCCGCGUGAGGGAUGGAGGCCUUCGGGUUGUAAACCUCUUUCGCCAGUGAAGCGGUAGCUGGAUAAGAAGCGCCGGCUAACUACGUGCCAGCAGCCGCGGUAAUAC